AUCAUACUCCCUCCGUCCGAAAAUACUUGUCAUCAAAAUGAACAAAAAGGGAUGUAUCUAGAACUAAAAUACAUCUAGAUACAUCCCCUUUUAUUCAUUUUGAUGACAAGUAUUUCCGGACGGAGGGAGUACAUG
rnacentral:pre_miRNA from 1 species